ACUCUGAUCCAGCCAUGCCGCGUGCAGGAUGACGGCCCUAUGGGUUGUAAACUGCUUUUAUGCAGGAAGAAUAAGGCCCACGUGUGGACCGGCUAACUCCGUGCCAGCAGCCGCGGUAAUACGGAGGGUCCGAGCGUUAUCCGGAAUCAUUGGGUUUAAAGGGUCCGUAGGCGGGCUGUUAAGUCAGAGGCGAAAGCUUGCAGCUCAACUGUAGAAUUGCCUUUGAUACUGAUGGUCUUGAAUUAUUGUGAAGUGGUUAGAAUAUGUAGUGUAGCGGUGAAAUGCAUAGAUAUUACAUAGAAUACCGAUUGCGAAGGCAGAUCACUAACAAU
rnacentral:rRNA from 1 species